CCUAAGGUAGCGAAAUUCCUUGUCGGGUAAGUUCCGACCCGCACGAAAGGCGUAAUGAUUUGGGCACUGUCUCAACAAUGCACCCGGUGAAAUUGAAAUACCAGUGAAGAUGCUGGUUACCUGCGCCAGGACGGAAAGACCCCAUGGAGCUUUACUCCAGCUUGAUACUGGGAUUCGAUAUUGUAUGUACAGGAUAGGUGGGAGGCGAAGAAGCAUUGACGCCAGUUGAUGCGGAGCCGCUGUUGGGAUACCACCCUUGCAGUAUUGGAUUUCUAACCAGCAGCCGUGACCCGGCUGGGGGACAAUGUCAGGUGGGGAGUUUGACUGGGGCGGUCGCCUCCGAAAGGGUAUCGGAGGCGCUCAAAGGUUCCCUCAGAAUGGUUGGAAACCAUUCGAAGAGUGCAAAGGCAGAAGGGAGCUUGACUGCGACACCGACGGGUGGAGCAGGUACGAAAGUAGGACUUAGUGAUCCGGUGGUAUAAAGUGGGAUUGCCAUCGCUCAACGGAUAAAAGCUACCCUGGGGAUAACAGGCUUAUCACUCCCAAGAGUUCACAUCGACGGAGUGGUUUGGCACCUCGAUGUCGGCUCAUCGCAUCCUGGGGCUGAAGUAGGUCCCAAGGGUUGGGCUGUUCGCCCAUUAAAGCGGUACGCGAGCUGGGUUCAGAACGUCGUGAGACAGUUCGGUCCCUAUCCGGCGUGGGCGUAGGAUAUUUGAGAGGAGCUGGCCUUAGUACGAGAGGACCGGGCUGGACUGACCGCUGGUGUAUCUGUUGUUCCGCCAGGAGCAUGGCAGAGUAGCCAAGUCAGGAAGGGAUAAACGCUGAAGGCAUCUAAGCGUGAAGCCCCCCUCAAGAUGAGAUAUCCCAACGCAAGUUGUAAGACCCCUUGAAGACGACAAGGUAGAUAGGGCAGAGGUGGAAGUGCAGUAAUGCAUGGAGCUGACUGUUACUAAUCGGUCGAGGGCAUAACCAA
rnacentral:rRNA from 1 species